GCACGAAAGCGUGGGGAGCAAACAGGAUUAGAUACCCUGGUAGUCCACGCUGUAAACGAUGAGUACUAGGUGUCGGGGGUUACCCCCUUCGGUGCCGCAGCUAACGCAUUAAGUACUCCGCCUGGGACGUACGCUCGCAAGAGUGAAACUCAAAGGAAUCGACGGGGACCCGCACAAGUAGCGGAGCAUGUGGUGUAAUUCGAAGCCACGCGAAGCACCUUACCUACGCUUGACAUCACAAUUACAUCUCCUCAAUCGGACAGUCACCUUCGGGUACAUUGGAGACAGGUGGUGCAUGGUUGUCGUCAGCUCGUGUCGUGAGAUGUUGGGUUAAGUCCCGCAACGAGCGCAACCCUUGUCUUUAGUUGCCAUCAUUAAGUU
rnacentral:rRNA from 1 species